rnacentral:lncRNA from 7 species
CUCUUUCUUUUUUACCUUCCCUCUAGCGAUCAAUACAUGCCUGCACAAAACUGAAGCUAUAGCUCAUUUGGAGUUCCCUACCGCAGUCUCUGCUGAACUGUUCGUGGCGGAAUUGUGUUGUGCUCCAGGGGUGGUGAUGCUGUCGUCGUCGUGCUUGUGGCACCAGGUCGAGGCAGUUCCGGCGGAAGGUCUGUCCUGCUCCUGCCAUGAUUCGUUGACACGUUUGCCUGGGGAAGGUGUCUGCUGCUGGCGCCCAAGGUCGAUCAGUUUGUGGUCCCGCCUGCACCGCUAGAGCGCGAUGCCCUCAUCUGGUUCUCGCCUUCUUGUUCGCCAAUUGACAGUUGUUGCGGUCUACAUUCGACCAGCUACGGAUUUGAUCUGGCUUCAACAGCGGUCGGUUCGACAUUGCAGCGCCUUUGAAGAUCGGGAAACACCAUGUGUCCAUGUGAGAAGUGAGUAGCGGCAUCCGAUCGAGUAGAUGAAUUGUUUUGUACACGCAGCAUGUUCAUAUAGAAAUAGAAAAAAG